rnacentral:lncRNA from 1 species
UACUACGCCACAGCUGUGAACAUAUACCUCCUCUAGAUCGCAGCACGCGUUUCGUGAAGGGGGGAAACCUUCACACAAUCGAUCGAUAUUUCGUGAUUGAUUUUCUUCCAUUGAAAAACCCACAUCUACCCAGUAAAGUUAAGUCGCGCUAGGAGAAGGAGGCUAAGCGUUAUGAGGGGGAAAUCGGCGAGAAAAAGGCAGUGUUAAGGAAUGGGUGGCCUGUUUUAUAUUCAAACUCUAACGUAAAAAAGGCGUGAGCUAAUUGAUGGGUCUAGAAGGAUAUCGCUGGAAACACUAUAAGAUAAUCUUACAUGCCCAUUUCACAAACAUUGCCUCUGAUGGUAGCCUGUGGGACUCUCCUCAAUUGUAACUCUUCAUUUUCCAGCCCAGACUGCAUGCCUCUGGAAACAUGAAAAAUACCUAGUGU